rnacentral:lncRNA from 1 species
UGUACUUCAAACAGAAGAUAAACUAGACUCUAGUAUUUAAAGUUGCAUGCUUAGGCAACAAACUAUAAACAAAAACAAAGAAUGAAUGUUAUUAAAGUCAGGAAAACAUUUACAUCUUGGAGAAAUAGAAGGGGUUUGUGAUGGGAAGGCAGGCACGAGGUUUUUAGCAGUGCUGGUAACGUGCAAUUUUUCUUUUAAACCAGGAUUGCAACUAUAUGGCGUUUGUUAGACAACAUUUUAAGCUGUACAUCUGUUCUUUGUACUUUUUGAAUGUGUUCUAUGUUUCACCACUUUAAAAGUUUUUAAGACAUGAUCAGUUUGGUUUUAUUAACACCAUGAAAUACCCAGCAGCUCAAGGUUAAUCAUCAUUGUGGGGUGGCAGUGUUUAAGGUUCAGAGAUGGUGAUAAGGAAGAGGGGUGUGAAUUCUCUUUCAUGUCAAGUGACUGAACAUCUUACUUGGGCAAUCUAAGGUGGUAAAAGCUGGAGUCCUAAGAAGUCCAUUUACAUCUUGGAGAAAGAGGGGUUUGUUAUAUUCCUGCCUUCCGUGACAUAAAAAAGGCAAGCUAAGAGCCAAAUCAUGAAUGAACUACCAUUCACAACUGCCACAAAAGAAUAGAAUAUCUAGGAAUACAUCUAACAAUGGAAGUGAAGGACCUUUUUGAGAAGAACUACAAACCACUGCUCAGAGAAAUCUGAGAGGACACAAACAAGUGGGAAAGCAUUCCAUGCUCAUGGAUAGGAAGAAUCAAUAUCAUGAAAAUGGCCAUGUUGCUCAAAGCAAUUUAUGGAUUCAAUGCUGUUCCCAUUAAACUACUAUUGAGAUUCUUCAUAGAAUUAGAAAAAACUUUUAAAAUUCAUAUGGGGCUGGGUGCAGUGGCUCAUGCCUGUAAUCCCAACACUUUGGAAGGCCAAGGUGGGAGGAUCACUUGAGUUCAGGGGUUCAAGACCAGCAUGGCCAACAUGGUGAUACCUCAUCUCUACUGAAAAUACAAAAAUUAGCUGGGCAUGAUGGCUGGCAUCUGUAAUCCCAGCUACUCAGGAGGCUGAGACAUGAGAAUCGCUUGAACCCGGGAGGUGGAGGUUGCAGUGAGCCAGGAGCACACCACUGCACUCCAGCCUGGGUGACAGAGUGAGAGUCAGACUCUCAGACUCAAAAAAAAAAAAAAAAAACAAAACACUCACAUGGAACCCAAAAAGAGCCUGAGUAGCCAAGACAAUCCUAAGAAAACAAACAAACAAACAAACCAAAGCUGGAGGCCUCUUCAAAUUAUUCCACAAGACUACAGUAACUAAAAAAGCAUGGUACUGGUACAAGAACAGACACAGAGACCAAUGGAACAGAAUAGGGAACCCACAAAUAAGACUGCACACCUACAAUCAUCUGAUCUUCAGCCAAGUCAACAAUAACAAGCAAUGGAAAAAGGAUUCCCUAUUUAAUAAACCAUGCUGGGAGAACUGGGUAGUCAUAUGGAAAAAAUGGAAACUUCCUUACAUUAUGUGCAAAAAUCAACUCAAGAUGGAUUAAAGAACCCAAAACUAUGAAAACUCCAGACAAAAAUCUAGGCAAUACCAUUCAGGACAUAGGACACCGGGGCCUGUUGUGAGGUGGGG